rnacentral:rRNA from 1 species
GCGGCAAACGGGUGAGUAAUAUCUGGGAAUCUACCCAAAAGAGGGGGAUAACUACUAGAAAUGGUAGCUAAUACCGCAUAAAGUUGAAAAACCAAAGUGGGGGACCUUUAGGCCUCAUGCUUUUGGAUGAGCCCAGAGGAGAUUAGCUUGUUGGUAAGGUAAAAGCUUACCAAGGCAACGAUCUCUAGCUGGUCUGAGAGGAUAGCCAGCCACACUGGAACUGAGACACGGUCCAGACUCCUACGGGAGGCAGCAGUGGGGAAUAUUGCACAAUGGGUGAAAGCCUGAUGCAGCUAUGCCGCGUGUAUGAAGAAGGCCUUAGGGUUGUAAAGUACUUUCAGCGGGGAGGAAAAAAAUAAAACUAAUAAUUUUAU